rnacentral:rRNA from 1 species
UACGUAGGUGGCAAGCGUUGUCCGGAUUUACUGGGCGUAAAGCGCGCGUAGGCGGCCCGCACAAGUCUGCGGUGAAAACCCCCGGCUUAACCGGGGGCCGGCCGUGGAAACUGUCGGGCUGGAGGCUGGGAGAGGGCAGCGGAAUUCCCGGUGUAGUGGUGAAAUGCGUAGAGAUCGGGAGGAACACCGGCGGCGAAGGCGGCUGCCUGGACCAGUCCUGACGCUGAGGCGCGAAAGCUGGGGGAGCAAACAGG